rnacentral:rRNA from 2 species
AAAUUGAAGAGUUUGAUCAUGGCUCAGAUUGAACGCUGGCGGCAGGCCUAACACAUGCAAGUCGAGCGGUAGCACAGAGAGCUUGCUCUCGGGUGACGAGCGGCGGACGGGUGAGUAAUGUCUGGGAAACUGCCUGAUGGAGGGGGAUAACUACUGGAAACGGUAGCUAAUACCGCAUAAUGUCGCAAGACCAAAGUGGGGGACCUUCGGGCCUCAUGCCAUCAGAUGUGCCCAGAUGGGAUUAGCUAGUAGGUGGGGUAACGGCUCACCUAGGCGACGAUCCCUAGCUGGUCUGAGAGGAUGACCAGCCACACUGGAACUGAGACACGGUCCAGACUCCUACGGGAGGCAGCAGUGGGGAAUAUUGCACAAUGGGCGCAAGCCUGAUGCAGCCAUGCCGCGUGUGUGAAGAAGGCCUUCGGGUUGUAAAGCACUUUCAGCGGGGAGGAAGGCGUUAAGGUUAAUAACCUUGGCGAUUGACGUUACCCGCAGAAGAAGCACCGGCUAACUCCGUGCCAGCAGCCGCGGUAAUACGGAGGGUGCAAGCGUUAAUCGGAAUUACUGGGCGUAAAGCGCACGCAGGCGGUCUGUCAAGUCGGA